CAGUAGCCGCGGGAAAACGUAGGUGGCAAGCGUUAUCCGGAAUUAUUGGGCGUAAAGCGCGCGUAGGCGGUUUUUUAAGUCUGAUGUGAAAGCCCACGGCUCAACCGUGGAGGGUCAUUGGAAACUGAAAAACUUGAGUGCAGAAGAGGAAAGUGGAAUUCCAUGUGUAGCGGUGAAAUGCGCAGAGAUAUGGAGGAACACCAGUGGCGAAGGCGACUUUCUGGUCUGUAACUGACGCUGAUGUGCGAAAGCGUGGGGAUCAAACAGGAUUAGAUACCCCAGUAGUCCCUGUCUCUUAUAC
rnacentral:rRNA from 1 species